AUGUUAGCAGCUAGCAAGUGUCUCUCUGCUAUUCUAAAUGAUACACAGACGAUCUUUUGUUGUUUAAAAGCUCAUUGCUUUAGUGCUGGUAGAUGCUGCUUAUUUUUCAAGACGGUUUUAAUAGCUUUAUAUUGAUUUGUAACAAAGCCAGCUUCACUUUGAGAGAACCUAGAUGCUAAUUGUAAAGAAGCUUGGAGUCAUAAUAUAUUUUAACGUAAUAUGUUUGCUGUUCUUCAUCUUUUUAAAUAUGAAGUCUAUCCAUGUUUGUGUUUACAGAGGUCAUGUACACUGUGGUCAACUUUGUGGACGCUGAAGAGGUUUCUGGGUAAAGAUGAUAGAAAUAUAAUGAAGUAACAGUGGAAGCUAAAACAUCAGACUGAUCCAGACACUGAAGAAAUUGAUGUCACUGCAAUCUGGCCAAAAUGAUACAACUAUAUUGAAGUAGCCUACUGUAAUGAAGCUGCAGAACGUCACAGAGACUCUGAGGACAUCAACACAGAAAAUCAAGGCUCCAAAGAGAUGUCUGUCCAGAUGAGGGUGCAUCAGCGUUACCUUUGCUGACAAGUAUAUGCUUUUAGCAGUUAACUUAACUCAAACCAUUUAAGGAAAUCGGUUGCCUUAAACCAUUAAGUUUUAAAAAACAUACAUUUGAGUACUGUG